CAGCAACGGAUCUCUUGGCUCUCGCAUCGAUGAAGAACGCAGCGAAAUGCGAUAAGUAAUGUGAAUUGCAGAAUUCAGUGAAUCAUCGAAUCUUUGAACGCACCUUGCGCUCCUUGGUAUUCCGAGGAGCAUGCCUGUUUGAGUGUCAUUAAAUUCU
rnacentral:rRNA from 2 species